rnacentral:rRNA from 1 species
UACGUAGGGUGCAAGCGUUGUCCGGAAUCAUUGGGCGUAAAGCGCGCGUAGGUGGCUUCGUAAGUCCGUUGUGAAAGUCAAAGGCUCAACCUUUGAAAGCCGAUGGAUACUGCGGAGCUAGAGUACGGAAGAGGCGAGUGGAAUUCCUGGUGUAGCGGUGGAAUGCGCAGAUAUCAGGAGGAACACCAACAGCGAAGGCAGAUCUCUGGGACGUAACUGACGCUGAGACGCGAAAGCGUGGGGAGCAAACAGG